rnacentral:rRNA from 1 species
UACAGAGGUCUCAAGCGUUGUUCGGAUUUAUUGGGCGUAAAGGGUGCGUAGGCGGCGCGGUAAGUCGGGUGUGAAAUCUCGGAGCUUAACUCCGAAACUGCAUUCGAUACUGCCGUGCUUGAGGACGGGAGAGGAGACUGGAAUUUACGGUGUAGCGGUGAAAUGCGUAGAUAUCGUAAGGAAGACCAGUGGCGAAGGCGGGUCUCUGGACAGUUCCUGACGCUGAGGCACGAAAGCCAGGGGAGCAAACGGG